ACAGGGAGACAACAAAAUGUAAAUAUUAAUUUUGUCACCUUAGGUCGAUCGGUAUCUCAGAUUCUUAUUUUUUAAGAAUUUCAGUUUCUAAGUUUUUUCUAGGUCACACCCACCACUUUUUCCUGGGCCAUUAGCUCAGGUGGUUAGAGCGCACCCCUGAUAAGGGUGAGGUCCCUGGUUCAAGUCCAGGAUGGCCCAUAUCUCUAUGUUGGGGGUAUAGCUCAGUUGGUAGAGCGCCUGCUUUGCAAGCAGGAUGUCAGCGGUUCGAGUCCGCUUACCUCCACUGAAUACCACCUCUUACAUAUGUUCAAAGAGGGAAAUUGUUUUGAGUCGUGUCCUAAUUACUCUGAGCGAAUCUAGCUUCCUAUUUUAUUCAAUAAAUAAGAUGCUGGACUCAUUGAAUCUUUUUCAUUGUUUUCAGAGAACCUUGACAACUGCAUAGAUUAUUUUUGAAGACAAUAAGCAUCUUUAAUGAUGCAGAUUUAUUAUUUGUGCGAAUGCAUUAAAUAACAAUUCUAUUAAGCUGAUGCUUCAAUUAUUGAAGUUAUU
rnacentral:tRNA from 1 species